UGGGGAAUAUUGCACAAUGGGCGCAAGCCUGAUGCAGCCAUGCCGCGUGUGUGAAGAAGGCCUUCGGGUUGUAAAGCACUUUCAGCGGGGAGGAAGGCGAUAAGGUUAAUAACCUUGUCGAUUGACGUUACCCGCAGAAGAAGCACCGGCUAACUCCGUGCCAGCAGCCGCGGUAAUACGGAGGGUGCAAGCGCUAAUCGGAAUUACUGGGCGUAAAGCGCACGCAGGCGGUCUGUCAAGUCGGAUGUGAAAUCCCCGGGCUCAACCUGGGAAGUGCAUUCGAAACUGGCAGGCUAGAGUCUUGUAGAGGGGGGUAGAAUUCCAGGUGUAGCGGUGAAAUGCGUAGAGAUCUGGAGGAAUACCGGUGGCGAAGGCGGCCCCCUGGACAAAGACUGACGCUCAGGUGCGAAAGCGUGGGGAGCAAACAGG
rnacentral:rRNA from 1 species